CGGGGUGUAGCUCAGUUGGCUAGAGCGCUCGCAUGGGGUGCGAGAGGUUUUUUCGGUGGUUCGAGUCCACUCACCCCGA
rnacentral:tRNA from 1 species